rnacentral:rRNA from 1 species
CUCUAAUCAGUGAAACUGAAUCUCCCCGUGAAGAAGCGGGGAUAAAUUUAUAAGACGAGAAGACCCCAUGGAGCUUUAAGCCUAACAGCACCUGUUAACUUUAUACCAUAAUAUUCUUCUAGUAAUGCUUGUUCGGCUUUGGGUUGGGGUGACCAUGGAGCAAAAAAUAGCCUCCACGAAGAAAGGAAUAAGACCCUUAUCAAAGAGUUACAUCUCUAUGAAUUAGAACACUAACUUUUAAUGAUCCGAUAAUCGAUCAACGAACCAAGUUACCCUGGGGAUAACAGCGCAAUCCAUCUCAAGAGCUCCUAUCGACAGAUGGGUUUACGA